AGCUGUGCCGAAGCGAGUGCCACUUGUCUGCAGGGCCGUACCGCGGAACCCUCUUUGCCGACCAGCCAGCGAUGUUUGUCUCGCCUGCCAGCAGCCCCCCAGUGGCCAAGCUCUGUGAACUAGUCCACCUGUGCGGAGGCCGGGUCAGCCAAGUCCCCCGCCAGGCCAGCAUCGUCAUCGGGCCCUACAGCGGAAAGAAGAAAGCCACAGUCAAGUAUCUGUCUGAGAAAUGGGUCUUAGACUGGCAAGCUUCCCACCCUGCCCACUGAGUGUCCUGACACAACGGGAACGUGCCCUGCAUCUAAUGGGACAUGUGGCUACCAAGCACUUGAACUGGCCAGUGUGACUGAGAACUGAAUGUUUCAUUGUAUUGAAUUUCGUUUCACGUUAAUUUAAAAAGAUUCCAUCACCCAGCACAAGGUCUGUGCCCCUGAAAACUACCUAUUGUCACAAUGACAGUGACCUCACUGGCCUGUGGUGACUGCACACAGCUCGCAAAACUGUCUUUGGAUGUUCAAAUGAGAAACAAAACUGUGAAGAGAAGGAACUGGCGUAUACAAGAUGACUUCUGAUAUCAUGUUUGCCAUGUGUUGUGGUUCUUAAGAACUCAUAGGUGACUUUCUGAUGACUGAAUGUCUGUUUCAGAGACGCUUCGGGCCUUUUUAUUUUUAUUUUAUUUUUUAUUUUUUGAGACGGAGUCCUGCCCUGUUUCCCAGGCUGGAGUGCAAUGGCACAAUCUCGGCUCACUGCAACCUCCACCUCCCAGGUUCAAGCGAU
rnacentral:misc_RNA from 1 species